GAUGAACGCUGGCGGCGUGCCUAAUACAUGCAAGUCGAGCGAACGGACGAGAAGCUUGCUUCUCUGAUGUUAGCGGCGGACGGGCGAGUAACACGUGGAUAACCUACCUAUAAGACUGGGAUAACUUCGGGAAACCGGAGCUAAUACCGGAUAAUAUUUUGAACCGCAUGGUUCAAAAGUGAAAGACGGUCUUGCUGUCACUUAUAGAUGGAUCCGCGCUGCAUUAGCUAGUUGGUAAGGUAACGGCUUACCAAGGCAACGAUGCAUAGCCGACCUGAGAGGGUGAUCGGCCACACUGGAACUGAGACACGGUCCAGACUCCUACGGGAGGCAGCAGUAGGGAAUCUUCCGCAAUGGGCGAAAGCCUGACGGAGCAACGCCGCGUGAGUGAUGAAGGUCUUCGGAUCGUAAAACUCUGUUAUUAGGGAAGAACAUAUGUGUAAGUAACUGUGCACAUCUUGACGGUACCUAAUCAGAAAGCCACGGCUAACUACGU
rnacentral:rRNA from 1 species